UAUAUCCGGUGUAAAUACUUUAGUUUGGUUGAUUUUUUUUUUUUUGGUGUGCGUCGCCGACUUUUUGAAGUGAAAAUAAUGAUCUAGAACAAUUGCGCAUUUCACGCACGCUGAACCAUGAUAGGCAGAGUCCUUCACAACAACAACAAAAACUCAGUUGUUUUCCCUUUCUGUGUUUGUUUGUUUUUCUUCGUCCUGUGCUGUGCUGUCAGGGGUGGUGCUGUUCUGGACGCAGCAGUCUUCACAAUCUUCAUGCAUCGUCACUUCAUAAACUCCAUCAACACCCAUCAAUAUCAGCAUGACCAGCGUGGUGGAAAACAA
rnacentral:lncRNA from 8 species